GGCACUUAUGUGUAUGUUUAAUUUGUAACAAAGCCUUACAGACAAGUGCAAACAGUAAAUCUUCUUUUGCAACCCCCAGAAUUCAUUGCUAAGUAUCAGCUUUUGGUAUGUGUAAGAAAGAAUAUG
ensembl:snoRNA